GCCUGGGUGGCUCAGUCAGUUGAGCAUCUGACUUCAGCUCAGGUCAUGAUCUCACGGCUUGUGAGUUCAAGCCCCACAUUGGGCC
rnacentral:tRNA from 1 species